rnacentral:tRNA from 1 species
GCCGAAGUGGUGAAAUUGGUAAACACGCUACCUUGAGGUGGUGGUGCCUUAUUAUUUUAGGCUUACGGGUUCAACUCCCGUCUUCGGUA